rnacentral:pre_miRNA from 1 species
UAUAAGGGAUUUUAAGUUUUUGUUUAUAAUAUUUGACCACUCGUCUUAUUCAAAAUUUUUUAAAAUUAUUAUUUAUUUUAUUUGUGACUUACUUUAUUAUCUACAGUACUUUAAGCACAACUUUUCGUUUUUUAUAUUUACAAAAAAAAUUUAAAUAAAACGAGUGGUCAAACGUUGCAAACAAAAACUCAAAAUCCCUUAUG